AACGCACCUUGCACCCUUUGGUAUUCCGAAGGGUAUGCCUGUCUGAGUGUCAUUAGACCUUCUCUCUGGCGGUUUCUUGACCGUCAUUGAGCUUUGGGAUCGCCUCUGGCCUUCCUUAAAUGCCUUAGUGUGACGAAACAUCAGUUGUCUCCGUCUGCACUCUAAACCGCAGCAAUGCACUCUUGAUUUGACCUCAGAUCAGGUAGGACUACCCGCUGAACUUAA
rnacentral:misc_RNA from 1 species